UAUUGGGCUGGUGCAAAAGUAAUUGCGGUUUUGCUGCUGAAAGUUAUGGCAAAAACUGCAAUCACUUUUGCACCAAGCUAAUA
ensembl:miRNA